rnacentral:rRNA from 1 species
UGGGGAAUAUUGCACAAUGGGCGCAAGCCUGAUGCAGCCAUGCCGCGUGUGUGAAGAAGGCCUUCGGGUUGUAAAGCACUUUCAGCGGGGAGGAAGGCGUUAAGGUUAAUAACCUUGGCGAUUGACGUUACCCGCAGAAGAAGCACCGGCUAACUCCGUGCCAGCAGCCGCGGUAAUACGGAGGGUGCAAGCGUUAAUCGGAAUUACUGGGCGUAAAGCGCACGCAGGCGGUCUGUCAAGUCGGAUGUGAAAUCCCCGGGCUCAACCUGGGAACUGCAUUCGAAACUGGCAGGCUAGAGUCUUGUAGAGGGGGGUAGAAUUCCAGGUGUAGCGGUGAAAUGCGUAGAGAUCUGGAGGAAUACCGGUGGCGAAGGCGGCCCCCUGGACAAAGACUGACGCUCAGGUACGAAAGCGUGGGGAGCAAACAGG